GAUUUCCUGGGAAGUGGUACGAGAAGUACAGACGACAAGCAUAGAUAACUGCAGUGCGCGGACGAGUCAAAUGGAAGCGGCGCCAAACAGACCAAUGGCAACACAACAGUCUUCUCAGCAGUCAGCUCCACCGGGACAUGUGCUUUCGUACUGCAGCGACACAGCUCUUGAGCAGCAGCAAGACACGUUUGAAACAGACUCCAGAACAUGCCUUUGUGAAGUGACGAAACCGUCAAGAAGCAGCCCAAUGGAUCUGCAGUCAUCGAGUAGCAUGACAACAGAAGUUUCUGCUGCCAGUGUGACUUAUGUUGUAAUUGAAAUAAAAGUGGCUAAAUUUCUGAA